GGAAUUAAGCAAGUCCUGCUUGCCUUUUUCCCACAAGCCUGUGCUAACUGAAUGCUAAUUUUUCGAUAAACCCUACUGGGUCUAGGGGAAAUCUUUAUGAAAUGACUGUCUGACAAGAUGAUCUUAUAAGGUCUCCUAAUGUGCGUAGGAAGAGCAUUGGGUUUAGCAGUCAUUGUCUGCACUGUCAAACUUUGAAGUAGGGAAGGUAAACUUGAGACACCCUUCAAAAUGAGUCACACUAAUUGAAUAACAGUGGCUUAACACUCUUUUUGUCUCUCUCCCUUUCUCUUUUAUUAAUGGCAGACAGAUCAUAUCUGAAAGAAGCACACUCAUCCAGGUUUAACCGUGGCCCGUCAUUCUGCUGAAGGUGACAAACCACAUAGGAAUCCUGAUGCCUUUCCAGUGUGAACCUGUAGUUUUUAAUUCCUAAAGAAAUCAGGACACGAUGACUGGAUUUUAUCUCAGAUGAUCUGUAUUGAAACAUCACCAAGCGUGUUAACUGCCAUGCUGUGGACCCGACAGCUGAUCCUAUCAAAUUACAACGGGAUGCUGAGUCAGUUUCUGAGUGUAUUGUUCCGGCUUUCCAUGUUUUCACUGGUGUACGGUAGGAGGCCCUAUCUUCUGAAAGAGUAUUGGACGUCUGGAUCAAAACAUGGCGAAGAAGCAGAAACAAGUGAUCACAAAAGCACACGCACAAUUUCCAGGCUCACAUCACAGGCGUCCAGCAACCGGUCAUACGAGUUUUCACAUGAUCUUCAGAACAACAACAACCUUAUUAAGAAAGAGGGCAUGAGAGGGAAAAUGAAAACAGAACAUGCAUAAAGCCCAAAUCACCCUAAAGUCAUCUACAAGCUAUUAGAUAACAAAUGUCUGUGUUUCUCGUCUAAGUUUGUUGUUUUGGACGAUUGCUAGCAUAGUGCCGUGAUGUUUCAGAGAGCUGCCAGGCCCAGAUGUGCUCAGUUCAAAUGAAAACACAGUUAAGCCUCAGUCACAAGUCUGCUGCUGCAGGAUUGCAACAAUUAGCCCAGUGUUUCUUCCUCUGCAGUGCUUGCAGACCAGCAGCCAGUGCAGCAGUCUCUCUCUCUCUCUCUCUCUCUCUCUCUCUCCUGCUCUCUCUCUCUCUCUCUCCACUUUUUCUUAAACUCUGUGCCUUUGCCUCUGUACCCUGAAACCACUUUUUUGCACCAUCACAUCACUCUAAACGCACUUUUGAACAUGUGCUCUUCCUCCUGGCCAUCACUGUCACUUCGUUUUAAAAAAUAGUGAGGAAAGUUUGAGCAUAUGAGGGGGUACACAGACAUGUUGGUUGUAACAUCAGUUAGGUUAUGCACCACUAAUAUAAAGUGCUUUUAGUCAGUCAGUCAGCCAUUCAUUCAUUUUGAAACUCAGUGGGGUGAGUACUGUAACUGGUGACAGAAUUGUCAUUUUCGGGUACACUAUGCCUUUAAUGGAAUAGUUCACCCACAAUUUAAAAUUUGCUAAAAAAUGAGUAACCCUCAGGCCAUUCAAAACAUAGUUGAGAUUUUAUUCAUCAACACAGAUUUGGAGAAAUUUAACACUGCAUCACUUGCUCACAAGUGGAUCCUUUGC
ensembl:lncRNA